CCCUUCUGGCCUCUCACUUUCGGGGAACCCAGCCUGGCACAGAGCUCCACGGGCAGCACUUACGGGUGUCCGGUACCGCUUGCCCAGCGCGCCGGAGUAAGACGACGACUUUAAAGGCGAUGCUUGCAAAGGCAAAGGGAUGGGUUUGGUUUUUACACCUCGUGGCAGCCGAGCUGUGUCCCGCCAUGAUGAAUUCUGAGUCUCGCGCCCACAUGCCCUAAGCAGGCCCGCCCCUUGACCCUGCCUCCUCCUGCGCAAAGCGUAUCAAUCCGGACACUGGACAUUCCGCAAAAUUCCUGCAGGGCCCCCCAGUGAAAAAAAAGCCUUUCAAACAAUCCAGACGGCACCGCGAGUGGGAUGGCAAGAAAUCGAUCCGUUACACGUGUCCGCAUUUGUACGUCCUAUGCCAAGGAACGCCCUCAAACACGUUUAAAAGAGGGCAAUCUUCGUCGCUGUGUUAUUUUGAAGAAAUAGUUUUUAUCCCCCAUUCCUCCAGCGCUCUGUGUCAGUCACUGUGCGCCUCUCUGCCUCACGCAGGCGCCAGGCCGGCAAAGCACGUUAGCGGGUGCUUUGUUUUAAGCAUCUCAGUCGUCCCCUGGAAGCAGGGACCCCAUGAAACACAAGAGGUCUCGUUUUUCUGUGAUUCUGCAGGGGAAACUGAAUAUGGCCGCUGCAUAUUUUUAGACCCGCCCUGCGAGAGUUAUAGCGUCUCAGCGCCUCGGCGUGUCUAACAGCGACUGUCCGAGAGAUCACUUGUUUCCUCCUAGGCGCCUAGCAGGAAAGCCACAAACUGUCGUUCCUACGCAUGCUGUAUAUCAUUCUUCCGGGGCUCGGUGUUUUAAACCCGCCUGUGCCCUUUGAGUGCCUUGUUAUGCAUUUGAAACCUAUUUCAGCCCAAAGAAGGGUGACACUCUCCCCCCACUAAGUCCUCCAGUGUCAAACAGCAAGCAUGGGCGUCUUACCUCCUGAAAAGCAAGUUUCCUCCACAUCUUUCCUUCCCCAGGGCUGCUGGCGAUUCCCCCUGGUAGAGAGGCCCACUGAUAGAGCAAAAAUUGAGCAGGCAGGAAAAGCAGACGGGAGGUGGCCACUUCCUUGUGCUGAAAUAGGUUUCAAAUGCAUAACAAGGCACUCAAAGUGCACAGGCGGGUUUAAAACACCGAGCCCCAGAAGAAUGAUAUACAGCCUGCGUAGGAACGACAGUUUGUGGCUUUCCUGCUAGGCGCCUAGUAGAAAACAAGUGAUCUCUCGGACAGUCGCUGUUAGACACGCCGAGGCGCUGAGACGCCAUAACUCUCGCAGGGCGGGUCUAAAACUAUGCAGCGGCCAUAUUCAGUCUCCCCUGCAGAAUCACAGAAAAACGAGACCUCUUGUGUUUCAUGGGGUCCCUGCUUCCAGGGGACGACUGAGAUGCUUAAAACAAAGCACCCGCUA
rnacentral:lncRNA from 1 species